rnacentral:sRNA from 1 species
AUGAAUAAUCAUUAAAAUCUAAAGGUAAUAAACAAAGUUUAAGGAAAUGUCUAGAGUACACAGAAUACGUUCUAAUUCAAGAUCACAAAAGGAAAUAUCAUUACAAGAUAUCACACAAGUGAAUGAUAGACUGUUACUGGUAGGGGAAUGCCUCGUACGCUGUGUCGUAGUCCUCGUUUCUAAGACCUAAAUAGGGGCGCAAAACAAAGGUGAGUGGACCAAGUUCAUAUAUACAAUACUAAUAAAACAAUUAUCAAGAUACUAACCCCCACAGUUUAUAUAAAGAAAACUACUGGCAUAAUAAGUGAUAGGUUUACUGAAAACCCUAGCAUGCCAAAAACAUCUCAAAGUCAUAUCGCGGAAAAACAUCGCGGAGAUCAAAAUAUCAAUCGUCUCACAAAUCGUCUCGUAAGCGUGGUGUGCUGCCAGUAAGAUCAUUGAAUAAAUAUAACUCCCAAC